rnacentral:rRNA from 1 species
UACGAAGGGAGCUAGCGUUGUUCGGAAUCACUGGGCGUAAAGCGUGCGCAGGCGGUUUUGUAAGCCAGAUGUGAAAGCCCCGGGCUCAACCUGGGAACUGCAUUUGGGACUGCAAAGCUGGAGUACGGCAGAGGGAGGUGGAAUUCCACGUGUAGCAGUGAAAUGCGUAGAGAUGUGGAGGAACACCGAUGGCGAAGGCAGCCUCCUGGGCUAGUACUGACGCUCAUGCACGAAAGCGUGGGGAGCAAACAGG